CCCGGGUUGGUGCAGUUGGUGAGCACAUUGUCUUGGUCACAAAGGUCACGAGUUCAUAUCUUGUACUGAGGA
rnacentral:tRNA from 1 species